AUGAACACGUUGACGGAAUGAAGUAMGAAUCAGUCCGCACUAAGAGAGGUGACCCCUAUGGCUGAGAGGGUUGCUGUGUGAAGGGAUUCGGAAAGCUACUCCUGAGUGCAGGCAAAACCCUGCCGUUCGCCGCGUUAAGGCUUCGAGUGAUGGAUGAAUGAUCAUCCAUAAUUAGGGUGGCACCGCGUGAAUACAACUCUCGUCCCUUCU
rnacentral:ncRNA from 1 species